rnacentral:rRNA from 1 species
UACGUAGGGUGCAAGCGUUAAUCGGAAUUACUGGGCGUAAAGCGUGCGCAGGCGGUUGUGCAAGACCGAUGUGAAAUCCCCGGGCUUAACCUGGGAACUGCAUUCGAGACUGCAUGGCUAGAGUAUGGGAGAGGGAAGUGGAAUUUCAGGUGUAGCGGUGAAAUGCGUAGAUAUCUGAAGGAACAUCAGUGGCGAAAGCGACUUCCUGGACCAAUACUGACGCUCAUGUGCGAAAGCGUGGGGAGCAAACAGG